GAUGAACGCUGGCGGCGUGCCUAAUACAUGCAAGUCGAGCGAGCGGACGAGAAGCUUGCUUCUCUGAUGUUAGCGGCGGACGGGUGAGUAACACGUGGAUAACCUACCUAUAAGACUGGGAUAACUUCGGGAAACCGGUGCUAAUACCGGUUAAUAUUUUGAAUCGCAUGGUUCAUAAGUGAAAGACGGUCUUGCUGUCACUUAUAGAUGGAUCCGCGCUGCAUUAGCUAGUUGGUAAGGUAACGGCUUACCAAGGCAACGAUGCAUAGCCGACCUGAGAGGGUGAUCGGCCACACUGGAACUGAGACACGGUCCAGACUCCUACGGUAGGCAGCAGUAGGGAAUCGUCCACAAUGGGCGAAAGCCUGACGGAGCAACGCCGCGUGGGUGAUGAAGGUCUUCGGAUCGUAAAACUCUGUUAUUAGUGAAGAACAUAUGUGUAAGUAACUGUGCACAUCUUGACGGUACCUAAUCAGAAAGCCACGGCUAACUACGUG
rnacentral:rRNA from 1 species